UGAGAAUCAACUUUGGGGAAGGGGGAUUUUUUUGAACCUAACUUUGAAGUGCACUUCUUCGCUUGGCAGGUUAGCGUCGAUUUUGAACGUCAUAAAAUGAUUGGGGGAAGGUAGCUCUUUCGGGAGUGUUAUAGCCCUUAAUUAAUGUGAUAUUUGGGAUCGAGGAUUGCAACGGAUACCUUUUUAGGCUAGCCGCCUGGCCUCUGAUUCGAUGUUGGGUUAUAGACAGCACGCUGACUAUGAUCUGAUUAUUGGUCAAAAGGUUAGAGCGAGCAUAAA
rnacentral:rRNA from 1 species